rnacentral:lncRNA from 1 species
GAAAUUGCACAUUUGUGAAGAUACACGUUUGACAACUUGCAUACAACUUACAUUGGAGAGGAUUUUUUAUCCCCACUAUCAACGUGACACGUGGCAUUAUAUCAUUGGAAGAAAAAGAUUUUAUUUUCCUUACUGGUGACAGCUAGCACUAAUACCUCUCUCCAAUCCCGACGGUUAGAGGAGAAAAAAUAAAUAAAAAAGAAAAAGAGGAAACGGUGGACUCGGUUUUUCAUACUCCUCAAUCUCACCCUCUCUGCAAAAAAAGAAAAGGACAAAAAGAAAAAGAAAAGUUUUUCCUCUUCUUCUACACAGCAGAUCCCCACACUCCUCUUCUUCUCUCACCUUAAACUAACACCCUCCUUCCUCUUCACAUUCCGCAAAUCGCC